rnacentral:snoRNA from 1 species
GAAGGAGAUCAGAGGUUGCCAGAGGGUGAGGAGAAAGGAAAAUGAAGAGUGGCUGCCAACAGGUACUAGGUUUCUCCCAUCUGAGUACUAACCAGACUCAACCCUGCUUAGCUUCUGAGAUCAGACAAGAUUGCACAUGUUCAGGGUGGUAUGGCUGUAGACAGGU